rnacentral:misc_RNA from 1 species
UCACAUUCAAGAUAUGGAUGCUGCUGCUGAGAUGCCUGAUGCCAUGGAAAUAAUAUUCCAGAAGGCUCUAGCUGUUGGGACGAGUGGUGCUGUAGACGAGUAUAUGGAGAACAAGGGUAGUGCAAAAAUCUCAUACUCCAAAGCAAUGGUUCUACUUUCUUUUAUUGUAGAAGAAGCAGCUUCUCUACCUCUGAAACCUCCAUUUAUACUGACUCCUACCAAUGAGAAAAGAAUACAAAGCUACAUAAUCAACUUGCAGUCCCAUCAGUCUCACUUCUAAUAAAGCAGCCGUUCUAUACAACUCCCCUGAAUCCCAUACCAAAUUUACAAAUGGUGUACAGGUAUUUUUAGAAACGACCUUCAUCAAUUACUGGUACAGCCUGGAACUCAAGGUCAGAUUUGACAUGCAAUUUUGAACUUUGCAUGCUGAAGUGGACACAAAGUAAUUGGUUGACAUGACUAGGGAAAUGCCGUGGC